UACGUAGGGUGCAAGCGUUAAUCGGAAUUACUGGGCGUAAAGGGCGCGUAGGCGGUUCGAUAAGUCCCGUGUGAAAUCCCUCGGCUCAACUGAGGAAUGGCACGGGAAACUGACGGGCUUGAGUUCGGGAGAGGGAAGCGGAAUUCCGGGUGUAGCGGUGAAAUGCGUAGAUAUCCGGAGGAACACCGGUGGCGAAGGCGGCUUCCUGGACCGACACUGACGCUGAGGCGCGAAAGCUAGGGGAGCAAACGGG
rnacentral:rRNA from 1 species